CCUACGGUGGGCAGCAGUGGGGAAUAUUGCGCAAUGGGCGAAAGCCUGACGCAGCGACGCCGCGAGAGGGAUGAAGGUCUUCGGAUCGUAAGUCUCUGUCAGCAGGGAAGAACGGUCACUGUGCUAAUCAGCAGUGAAUUGACGGUACCUGCAAAGGAAGCACCGGCUAACUCCGUGCCAGCAUCCGCGGUAAUACGGAGGGUGCGAGCGUGAAGCGGAUUUACUGGGCGUAAUGCGCUCGUAGGCGGUAUGUCAAGUCAAGGGGGAAAUCCCCGGGCUCACAGUGGGAAGUGCCUUUGAAACUGGCAAACUGGAGUGUGUGAGAGGAUAGUGGAAUUCCAGGUGU
rnacentral:rRNA from 1 species